rnacentral:rRNA from 1 species
UACGUAGGGUGCGAGCGUUAAUCGGAAUUACUGGGCGUAAAGCGGGCGCAGCCGGUUCGUUAAGCAAGAUGUGAAAUGCCCGGGCUCAACCUGGGAAAUGCGUUUUGAACUGGCGGACUUGAGUGUGGGAGAGGGGGGUAGAAUUCCACGUGUAGCAGUGAAAUGCGUAGAGAUGUGGAGGAAUACCGAUGGCGAAGGCAGCUCCCUGGGCUAACACUGACGUUCAUGCCCGAAAGCGUGGGUAGCAAACAGG